AAGGUUUCCGGUUGUUUGCUUAGACGUCAUCGUGCUCGGCCAAAUAUGUAUAAAACUAUAGAAAUGCUUAAUUGCGAACAUUCUUCUGCCACACUAGUAUUAACUUCUGUUUUAGAUAUGUAGGGUGAUUAUGAAAACCGCUUUCGAUGAACUUGCGCGGUGUGAAAAUGGCGGAGAUAGUUGUGGGACCGACAACAGUGGCGUUUGUAACGUCUGUUGUCGAGGAGGAGGGUGUAACUAUGGUGAUUGCCAUGUUAUCAGAAAUCAACUUUAUGACCAGUACAAGAAUAACGGAGUCUUCGACCUGGAUACUCUGGAAUCAAAAUCAGGAGGCACCAAUACGACCCAGUCGCCGGGCGGAAAAUAGACCCGUGCAACGGACACCAUCUAAAAAAUUUUGAUGAAAUUCUCAUUUUGUUUCGUUAAUAAAAUGACGUGCAUCAUCGAAAUGUA